UAACAAAUAGUUUAAUAAGAAUGUUGACUUUGGGUGUCAUUGGUUUGUUUUCAAUUUGUUGA
rnacentral:tRNA from 1 species